UCUAGGGCCAGGUAGUAGCACUCCAGCUAUGGAGGAGCUAUUUAUUAAGAGACAGAAAGAUUUUGGCUGUUCACGUGAACUUUCAAACAAGAAAGGUUAUCGCCACAGGUAUUUAUUGUCCCCUUCCCUUUCUUGGCUGACGGAAAGGUGCAAGCUCAGGACAAGCCCAUGAUAAAGAUCCGCCCACCAAAUGUCCUGAGGAGGGAGAAGAACCAGGAAGUAGAAAGGAGUAAAGGAGUUUAAGAACAGGGCC